rnacentral:rRNA from 1 species
GACAGAGGGUGCAAACGUUGUUCGGAAUUACUGGGCGUAAAGCGCGUGUAGGCUGUUUUGCAAGUCGGAUGUGAAAGCCCUGGGCUCAACCUAGGAAGUGCACUCGAAACUGCAGAACUGGAGUCCUGGAGAGGAAACUGGAAUUUACGGUGUAGCAGUGAAAUGCGUAGAGAUCGUAAGGAAGACCAGUGGCGAAGGCGAGUUUCUGGACAGGUACUGACGCUGAGGCACGAAGGCCAGGGGAGCAAACGGG